rnacentral:rRNA from 1 species
AAUAUUGCGCAAUGGAGGAAACUCUGACGCAGCGACGCCGCGUGAGCGAUGAAGGUUUUCGUAUCGUAAAGCUCUGUCCUGGGGGAGGAAGGUCUUCGGACUUGACGGUACCUAAGGAGGAAGCACCGGCUAACUACGUGCCAGCAGCCUCGGUAAGACGUAGGGGGCAAGCGUUGUCCGGAAGUAUUGGGCGUAAAGGGUGCGUAGGCGGCCUUUUAAGUAGGGUGGGAAAGCCCACGGCUUACCCGUGGGAUUGCAUUUGAAACUGGAAGGCUUGAGUAUCGGAGAGGGUAGUGGAAUUCCCAGUGUAGCGGUGGAAUGCGUAGAUAUUGGGAGGAACACCAGUGGCGAAGGAGACUACCUGGACGAAAACUGACGCUGAGGCACGAAAGCUAGGGGAGCAAACA